rnacentral:rRNA from 1 species
GAUGAACGCUGGCGGCGUGCCUAACACAUGCAAGUCGAGCGAGGGUUUGCUCAGUAUUGAGUAUUCUAAGUUUAGAAUGUUCAAUUCUGAGCAAAACCAAGCGGCGGACGGGUGAGUAACGCGUGGGUAACCUGCCCUAUACACAUGGAUAACAUACUGAAAAGUUUACUAAUACAUGAUAAUAUAUAUUUGUGGCAUCGCAGAUAUAUCAAAGUGUUAGCGGUAUAGGAUGGACCCGCGUCUGAUUAGCUAGUUGGUGAGAUAACUGCCCACCAAGGCGACGAUCAGUAGCCGACCUGAGAGGGUGAUCGGCCACAUUGGAACUGAGACACGGUCCAAACUCCUACGGGAGGCAGCAGUGGGGAAUAUUGCACAAUGGGCGAAAGCCUGAUGCAGCAACGCCGCGUGAACGAUGAAGGUCUUCGGAUCGUAAAGUUCUGUUGCAGGGGAAGAUAAUGACGGUACCCUGUGAGGAAGCCCCGGCUAACUACGUGCCAGCAGCCGCGGUAAUACGUAGGGGGCUAGCGUUAUCCGGAUUUACUGGGCGUAAAGGGUGCGUAGGUGGUCCUUCAAGUCGGUGGUUAAAGGCUACGGCUCAACCGUAGUAAGCCGCCGAAACUGGAGGACUUGAGUGCAGGAGAGGAAAGUGGAAUUCCCAGUGUAGCGGUGAAAUGCGUAGAUAUUGGGAGGAACACCAGUAGCGAAGGCGGCUUUCUGGACUGCAACUGACACUGAGGCACGAAAGCGUGGGUAGCAAACAGG